AGAGUUUGAUGAUGGCUCUAACUGAACACUGUCCAAGUACUUGACACAUGCUAAUCGAACGACUAAUUAGUUUAAUUUUAAAAUUAAAAUAAGUAGUAGUGGUGUACAGGUGAGUAAAAGAUAAAUUGGCUACCUUAAAGUAAGGGAAAAAAUCCCUUAUAACCAAAGAAUGCCGUAUAUAUUAAAAACUAUUAAUAGUAGUUUUUAGCUAAAAUAAUGUAAUUUUAAUAAAAUAAUAUUUUAUUAAAUAAGAAAUAUGUUAUUUAUAGUACGUAUAUACAAAAGCAUCGCUUUUAAAAGCAUCGCUUUAAGAUGAUAAUUUUUAUCUCGGUGAGUAGUAGGAAAGGUAAUGACUUUUCUAGCAAUAACCGUAGUCGUAACUGGAAAGUUGAUCGACCACAUUGGGUCUGAAAAAAACCCAAUGCUUUUAUGUACAGCAGUGAGGAAUAUUGGUCAAUGGCCGAAAGGCUGAACCAGUAACUUGGAAGAAUGCAAGUGUAUUUGUAUAAAUACAAUAGCGAUUAAUUCGCAUAAAAUUCUAAAUAGAUUGUAUAUAAUGACAUAAUCUAUUUAUAAGUCUUGACCAAACUACGUGCCAGCAGUCGCGGUAAUACGUAGGAGGCUAGUGUUAGUUAUCUUUAUUGGGUUUAAAGGGUAAGUAGACGGUAAAUUAAACUCUAAACGAGUACUUUUUUACUAGAGUUAUAUGAGAGAAGGAAGAAUACCUGGAGUAGAGAUAGAAUUCGAUAAUACCAGGGGGACUGUCAACGGCGAAGGCGUCCUUCUAUGUAAUAACUGACGUUGAGAGACGAAGGCUUGGGUAGCAAACAGGAUUAGAUACCCUAGUAGUCCAAGCAGACAAUGAUGAAUGUCAUACAUUAGAUAUAAAUUUAAUGUAUAAACGAAAGUGUAAGCAUUCCACCUCAAGAGUACUAUGGCAACAUAUAAACUGAAAUCAUUAGACCGUUUCUGAAAUCAGUAGUGAAGUAUGUUAUUUAAUUCGAUAAUCCGCGAAAAACCUUACCACAGCUUGUAUAGCAUAUUAUAAAAAAUUGUUACAAGCGCUGCAUGGCUGUCUUUAGUUAAUGUCGUGAGAUCUGGUUAAUUCCUUUAAUUAACGAAACCCCUCGCUUUAUUUAUUUAUAUAAGGUGGUUCGCCAAUACAUCGGAUCAGAUAAAAGGGAUUAAGACAAGUCAUUAUGGCCUAAAUGCUGUGGGCUAUAGACGUGCCACAUUCACCUUUACAACGGGAUGCGAUAUUGUGAAAUGGAGCUAAUCCCUAAAAAAGGAUAUACUUAGAUUGUAGUCUGUAACUCGACUACAUGAAAGAGGAAUUACUAGUAAUCGUGAAUCACCAUCGUCACGGUGAAUUCAAUCUUAGUUAGGUACUAACCACUCGUCAGGCGCUGAAAAAAGAAGAUGCAGUAAGUUUGAUUUUUUCUGUGUAAAAUUAUAUAUACUAUAUGAUAUAUAAAUACGCAGGAUAGUUUUCGUAUGCAAAACUUUGAUUGGUGUUAAGUCGAAAUAAGGUUCGUGUAAUGGAAAUUGCACGGG
rnacentral:rRNA from 1 species